UUUACCUGUGUUUAAAGUUAUUGCAAAUGGAUGGUAUUUUUGUUCGAGCAUAUUGUUUUUCUUUAAUUGUUUAACAUUUCUUACCGAUAUAACAUGUUACUUUUAUUAUUCUUCCCUUAGUUUAUUUAUUUUGUAUUUACAUUGUGUCAUAGGUCAAAUUUAUUUGUUCAGUGUAUGUUCAAUGGUGUUAAUAUGUCCUUUGAUUGAGUUAAGCUAUUUUAGUUGAUAUUUUAUAGUGUGUCUUUCUAUGUUGUGAUGUUACACUAUUGUUUCAGAAAAAGGGUGAAGGUUUGGUACCAUUAAAACAUUUAAACCCGCUGCAUUUGUUUGCACCUGUCCUAAGUCAGGAAUCUGAUGUUCAGUAGUUGUCGUUUGUUGAUGUGGUUCAUAAGUGUUUCUCGUUUCUCGUUUUUUAUACAGAUUAGACCAUUGGUUUUCCCGUUUGAAUGGUUUUACACUAGUAAUUUUUUGGGGCCCUUUAUAGCUUACUGUUCGGUGUGAGCCAAGGCUCCGUGUUGAAGACCGUACUGUGACCUAUAAUGGUUUACUUUUAUAAAUUUUGACUUGGAUGGAGAGUUGUCUCAUUGGCAGUCAUACCACAUCUUCUUAUAUCUAGCUCUUGUACAAAAUACACACAUUGAGAAACAUCAUUACACAACAUCAAUAUAUACAACUCUUGUUUUCAACACACACAGUGAGAAACAUCAUUACACAACAUCAAUAUUUACAGCUCUUGUAUUCAACACACACAGUGAGAAACAUCAUUACACAACAUCAAUAUAUACAACUCUUGUUUUCAACACACACAGUGAGAAACAUCAUUACACAACAUCAAUAUAUACAGCUCUUGUAUUCAACACACACAGUGAGAAACAUCAUUACACAACAUCAAUAUAUACAGCUCUUGUAUUCAACACACACAGUGAGAAACAUUAUUACACAACAUCAAUAUAUACAGCUCUUGUAUUCAAUACACACAGUGAGAAACAUCAUUACACAACAUCAAUAUAUACAGCUCUUGUAUUCAACACACACAUUGAGAAACAUCAUUAUACAACAUCAAUAUAUACAGUUCUUGUAUUCAACACACACAGUGAGAAACAUCAUUACACAACAUCAAUAUAUACAGCUCUUGUAUUCAACACACACAUUGAGAAACAUCAUUACACAACAUCAAUAUAUACAGCUCUUGUAUUCAACACACACAGUGAAAAACAUCAUUACACAACAUCAAUAUAUACAGCUCUUGUAUUCAACACAAACAGUGAGAAACAUCAGUAUGCACCACAAACUCCUGUAUAUAUUCAACACCUAUACCCCAAAAAAAAAAGUGAAAAAAAAAAUACCAAAAGGACAAUCAAAACACAUAAGUAGUAGAAGAAUAGACAAUCAAAACACAUAAGUAGUAAAAGAAUAGACAAUCAAAACACACAGGUAGUAGAAGAAUAGACAAUCAAAACCCACAAGUAGUAGAAGAAUAGACAAUCAAAACACACAAGUAAUAGAAGAAUAGACAAUCAAAACACACAAGUAAUAGAAGAAUAGACAAAACACAUAAGUAGUAGAAGAAUAGACAAUCAAAACACACAAGUAGUAGAAGAAUAGACAAUCAAAACACACAAGUAGUAGAAGAAUAGACAAUCAAAACACUCAAGUAGUAGAAGAAUAGACAAAACACAUCAAUAGUAGAAGAAUAGACAAUCAAAACACAUCAAUAGUAGAAGAAUAGACAAUCAAAACACACAAGCAGUAGAAGAAUAGACAAUGAAAAUAGACAAUCAAAACACAUAAGUAGUAGACGAAUAGACAAAACACAUAAGAAGUAGAAGAAUAGACAAUCAAAACACAUAACUAGUAGAAGAAUAGACAAAACACAUCAGUAGUAGAAGAAUAGACAAUCAAAACACACAAGUAGUAGAAGAAUAGACAAAACACAUCAGUAGUAGAAGAAUAGACAAUCAAAACACACAAGUAGUAGAAGAAUAGACAAUCAAAACACACAAGUAGUAGAAGAAUAGACAAUCAAAACACACAAGUAGUAGAAGAAUAGACAAUCAAAACACACAAGUAGUAGAAGAAUAGACAAUCAAAACACACAGGUAGUAGAAGAAUAGACAAUCAAAACACAUAAGUAAUAGAAGAAUAGACAAUCAAAGCACAUAAGUAGUAGAAGAAUAGACAAUCAAAACACAUAAGUAAUAGAAGAAUAGACAAUCAAAACACAUAAGUAGUAGAAGAAUAGACAAAAAACAUAAGUAGUAGAAGAAUAGACAAAACACAUCAGUAGUAGAAGAAUAGACAAUCAAAACACAUAAGUAAUAGAAGAAUAGACAAUCAAAACACAUAAGUAAUAGAAGAAUAGACAAUCAAAACACACAAAUAGUAGAAGAAUAGACAAAACACAUCAGUAGUAGAAGAAUAGACAAUCAAAACACACAAGUAGUAGAAGAAUAGACAAUCAAAACAUACAAGUAGUAGAAGAAUAGACAAUCAAAACACACAGGUAGUAGAAGAAUAGACAAUCAAAACACAUAAGUAAUAGAAGAAUAGACAAUCAAAGCACAUAAGUAGUAGAAGAAUAGACAAUCAAAACACAUAAGUAAUAGAAGAAUAGACAAUCAAAACACAUAACUAGUAGAAGAAUAGACAAUGAAAACACAUAAGUAGUAGAAGAAUAGACAAUCAAAACACACAAGUAGUAGAAGAAUAGACAAUCAAAACACACAAGUAGUAGAAGAAUAGACAAUCAAAACACACAGGUAGUAGAAGAAUAGACAAAACACAUCAGUAGUAGAAGAAUAGACAAUCAAAACACACAAGUAGUAGAAGAAUAGACAAUCAAAACACACAAGUAGUAGAAGAAUAGACAAUCAAAACACACAAGUAGUAGAAGAAUAGACAAUCAAAACACACAGGUAGUAGAAGAAUAGACAAUCAAAACACAUAAGUAAUAGAAGAAUAGACAAUCAAAGCACAUAAGUAGUAGAAGAAUAGACAAUCAAAACACAUAAGUAAUAGAAGAAUAGACAAUCAAAGCACAUAAGUAGUAGAAGAAUAGACAAUCAAAACACAUAAGUAGUAGAAGAAUAGGCAACACCAUGGCCAAGGGAGAAGACAAGCAACAGCCCCUAAAACACUACACAGUUUUGAUCCCCCAAAAACAACCUUAAAUACUUCAUUA